AGUAAUAUAUCGGAACGUACCCUAGAGUGGGGAUAACGUAGCGAAAGUUACGCUAAUACCGCAUACGAUCUACGGAUGAAAGUGGGGGCUCGCAAGACCUCACGCUCCUGGAGCGGCCGAUAUCUGAUUAGCUAGUUGGUAGGGUAAAAGCCUACCAAGGCAUCGAUCAGUAGCUGGUCUGAGAGGACGACCAGCCACACUGGAACUGAGACACGGCCCAG
rnacentral:rRNA from 1 species